UGUAUUCGUUCUUUAUCUUUCCCGAUUCCGUUGCCUGAACAGCAAACCUGUGAGUAAGAUUAACAGGACAGCUGGAUGUGGGAGCCCUGGAUAGCAGUGUCUCCAUUCACAUCGCGUGCUCCUUGCGCCGGAACUUGAAGUUUACAGGGAGGGAGGACCAGAACAGCACAGCGCUGGGGGGCUCCUGAAGAAAUGUAAGAAAAGAACUAGGAAUGGGCAUGGCCAGAGCACCUGGAGGCCUGAAUCAACAGCCCAGGUGCCUGGAACUUUCUCAAAGCUCUGCGGGGGGCAUCUGCUGGGCGGGUACUGAGGACUCCCGGAUUCUCCCCGCAGCUCCAGCCACACCUGAAGGUAGCCGGGUCUCGGGAAGCAGCCAUGGCAUAGGCUGUAGACCCAGGACGCAGUCUUUCAAUAGUUCUAAACCUUUUGGUUCUAAGAGCUGUCUGGGAACUUCCCUGCAGGCUGACAUCCAUGUUUCUACAAAUGUGUGUAUGGCUGCAUCAUAUGAUUUUACAAAAAAAUUUUCAGAGAAUUCUCAUAAUUAUUUUACUUCUCAAGGUUGAAGAUGCUGCAGUGAAUGUCCUGAGAGCUCAUCUGGUGCAGCCCUCUCCCUUUUCAUCAGCCUCAACCAGAUGAGUCUUGAUGCUGCUGACAUAGUAUUUCAUGUUCUUUCACUCUGUGCAGGCUGCAUGGGCCCUGUCUUAUCUCCUUGUACUGUUUCCUUCUGCUCCCUGGAGGGAUCUGCUCUUCAUGGAACCACUUGAACUAGAGAUCUUGAAAAGAAUGUGGUUAUUACUCAACCCUAGCCUAGGAAACAGGAUACCUAGAUCUCCUUAGUGAGAGUGUGAAAUUAUUACUCUUGUCUAAAUAAUUCAUCAGUACAGAGGUCAGUGUGAGUCAGACUAGGAAACCCUACACCCCCCAAGAUAUUCGGCUGGGAGUUAAAUAUUGUUAAGAAUAUUAAUUUUGUAGUAGAUAUUUAUUAUAACCAUGCCAGUACUAAGUAGCCUUCUCUAGAACAAAAUAAGAAAUAUACAUUUUUAAACGACAAAAUAUGAUACAAAGGGAUAUUUCAUAACAUAAAAUGUGGUAGUUUAUACUAUUAUCACUACUAUAGGUGAGUUUCUGUGACAUGCACUAGGCAGUCCAGCAACCCCCAC
rnacentral:lncRNA from 1 species